rnacentral:rRNA from 1 species
AGUGAACGCUGGCGGUAGGCCUAACACAUGCAAGUCGAACGGCAGCACAGUAAGAGCUUGCUCUUACGGGUGGCGAGUGGCGGACGGGUGAGGAAUACAUCGGAAUCUACUUUUUCGUGGGGGAUAACGUAGGGAAACUUACGCUAAUACCGCAUACGACCUACGGGUGAAAGCAGGGGAUCUUCGGACCUUUCGCGAUUGAAUGAGCCGAUGUCGGAUUAGCUAGUUGGCGGGGUAAAGGCCCACCAAGGCGACGAUCCGUAGCUGGUGUGAGAGGAUGAUCAGCCACACUGGAACUGAGACACGGUCCAGACUCCUACGGGAGGCAGCAGUGGGGAAUAUUGGACAAUGGGCGCAAGCCUGAUCCAGCCAUACCGCGUGGGUGAAGAAGGCCUUCGGGUUGUAAAGCCCUUUUGUUGGGAAAGAAAAGCAGCAGGUUAAUACCCCGCUGUUCUGACGGUACCCAAAGAAUAAGCACCGGCUAACUUCGUG